GGCAUAGCUCUUAUCAGCAAGCAAGCACCGAGAAAAAAAUGAGGGGCUGCACCUGCUUCUCCUUUCCUUCAUCCCCUCCAAUUUUCUCCUUUUACAGUAAUAGCAUUAAUCGUUUCUCUUCUUCUUCUUCACUGUUAUUCUCAUCAGCCUCUCACAACUGCUCUGUGAAACUGUCCCCUCUCCUCUUCGCCAAGUCCACGCGCUUCAGAACAAAUUGCAAAGCCAAAGAUCCCGAAGUUGUGGACUGCGUAGGGACGGGCCUGGACGUGGAGUGCCUCGUCUCUCAAAACGAGAAACAAGAUUUGGAAAUAGAAGAUGUUGAAAAGGCGGAAAGCAACAUUUUGUUGGAGUGGGCAGUGCUCGUUUCUCCAUUCUUCUUCUGGGGCACGGCAAUGGUGGCAAUGAAGGAGGUUUUGCCCAAGGCAGGGCCUUUCUUUGUGGCUUCCUUUCGUUUGAUUCCGGCGGGGUUGUUAUUGGUGGCGUUUGCCAACUCCAAGGGCAAGCCUUUGCCCUCUGGACUCACUGCUUGGCUUUCCAUUGCGCUCUUCGCUCUUGUCGACGCCGCCUGUUUCCAGGGUUUUCUUGCUCAAGGGUUACAGAGGACAUCUGCAGGUUUGGGCAGUGUGAUAAUUGACUCUCAGCCAUUGACAGUGGCUGUUCUUGCUUCCUUUUUAUUCAAUGAGUCCAUUGGUUUAGUUGGAGCUGCUGGGCUAGUUCUUGGUGUCGUUGGCCUUCUUCUUCUCGAGGUCCCUGCACUUUCUUUAGAUGAUAGUAAUUUUUCACUAUGGGGAAGUGGAGAGUGGUGGAUGCUCCUUGCUGCUCAGAGCAUGGCAGUUGGAACAGUAAUGGUCCGCUGGGUUUCCAAAUACUCUGACCCUAUCAUGGCAACCGGAUGGCAUAUGAUAAUUGGUGGUCUUCCACUUCUUGGAAUUUCUAUUCUCAACCAUGAUCCUGUUUUUAGUGGGAGUUUUCAGGAGCUUUCUGCCAGUGAUUUGUUGGCACUCUUUUAUACAUCAAUCUUUGGAAGUGCCAUAAGCUAUGGUGUAUUCUUCUACAGUGCAACAAAAGGUAGCUUGACGAAGCUCAGCUCCCUCACCUUCUUGACGCCUAUGUUCGCUUCAAUUUUUGGGUAAGAUGUUGCACUGGGCACAUGGUUCACUUCGUAAAUGGUCAUGUAGGAUUCUACUGUUAAGGGUUAAUAUUUCUGACCUGAAAAGGUUUUUGUACUUUGGCGAGACCUUCUCACCCUUGCAACUGGUUGGUGCCAUUGUCACCAUAGUUGCCAUAUACAUGGUUAACUUUCGAGGCAAACCUUCAUAGCAAAGAACAUGCUUGAUAAAGAUACAUACCUACCUACGUAAGACAUGUCAGAAAAUGAGAAUGAAAUUAAGCUUUGACAGAAUGAAGCAUGUUUUGGAGUCAGACAUCCUUUUAAAAGAUUGGUUAUGGUUGAAGAAGCAUGAUGUUUGAGAUCCCUGGCUAAGAUAUUGAAGUAAUCACGAUCUGUAUAUAUAUAUAUGUGAGCUAGAAAAGUAUAUACCAAUGGAUAAAUAUAGUCGUGUUUUAGAAUCUUGUAAAUUGCCGAAAUCUAAAGAUCGUUUGGAUAAAAAUAUUUAGUCCCGGCAAUGCAUUUGGACAAAAAACUCUCACAUUAAAGGGUUCGACUUUUUUAAAUCGACAUUUUUUUUUAUAA